UACGUAGGGGGCAAGCGUUGUCCGGAAUCAUUGGGCGUAAAGCGCGUGUAGGCGGUCCGGUAAGUCCGCUGUGAAAGCCCACGGCUCAACCGUGGAGGGUCAUUGGAAACUGGGGAACUUGAGAGCAGAAGAGGAAAGUGGAAUUCCACGUGUAGCGGUGAAAUGCGUAGAGAUGUGGAGGAACACCAGUGGCGAAGGCGACUUUCUGGUCUGUAACUGACACUGAGGCGCGAAAGCGUGGGGAGCGAACAGG
rnacentral:rRNA from 1 species